AACGAACGCUUGCGGCAUGCCUAACACAUGCAAGUCGAACGAGAACUUCGGAUCUAGUGGCGCACGGGUGCGUAACACGUGGGAAUCUGCCCUUGGGUUCGGAAUAACUCUCCGAAAGGAGUGCUAAUACCGGAUGAUGUCGAAAGACCAAAGAUUUAUCGCCCAGGGAUGGGCCCGCGUAGGAUUAGCUAGUUGGUGGUGUAAAGGCCUACCAAUGCGACGAUCCUUAGCUGGUCUGAGAGUAUGAUCAGCCACACUGGGACUGGGACACGGCCUAGACUCCUACAGGAGGCAGCAGUGGGGAUUAUUGGACAAUGGGGGAAAGCCUGAUCCAGCAAUGCCGCGUGAGUGAUGAAGGCCUUAGGGUUGUAAAGAUCUUUUACCUUGGAUGAUAAUGACAGUACCGGGAGAAUAAGCCCCGGCUAACUCCGUGCCAGCAGCCGCCGUAAGAC
rnacentral:rRNA from 1 species